CUGUGCUACCAGAAGGAGGAAAUUGGUUGCAACAGUAUACUAAUUGGAAACCUGUUGACUGCAGAGAGAGAGAGAAAGAAAGUUGAGAGGAGCGCCCGUCUGCAACCCCAGGAAACAUGGUCUGAGUUAUUACGAAUGCCUGCAGGUAUGUGGCAGGAAAAAUUAGAGAUUGCUGUCACUGCUGCUCUAAAGGCAAAGAGGAGCAACCUUCACUCCAAACCAAGGAACAAGUUCCACCAGUAAGUACAUGACAAGGCCCGCCCAAAAGAGUUGAGUCACCUGCAUCAUGCAACAUUCCCGUCCAGGAUCAGCCUGUUAAAAAAUGACGAUAAAAGCCUGCAUGGAGCCUCUUCUCUGGAACAGGAUCCUGCCCUACUUCUUCUCAAGAAACUAUGAUGUCCCCGAGUCCACGAGGGGCAUUUCCUCUUGCAUCAUCAUCAUCACAGGCCAUCAUGAAGACAGAUUCACAAACUCCCCUUACGGCGGAGAUGAAAAUGUCCGAAUCCCCCUCUGCCUGGGAUGUCCAUAAAGAUGAGUGUGGUAAUUGUAAAAUGGAGAGAAAAUAAGAAAAUGCACCCAUUAAAACAGAUGUUAUGGUA